rnacentral:rRNA from 1 species
GAUGAACGCUGGCGGCGUGCCUAAUACAUGCAAGUCGAGCGAACAGACGAGGAGCUUGCUCCUCUGACGUUAGCGGUGGACGGGUGAGUAACACGUGGAUAACCUACCUAUAAGACUGGGAUAACUUCGGGAAACCGGAGCUAAUACCGGAUAACAUGUUGAACCGCAUGGUUCAACAGUGAAAGACGGUCGUGCUGUCACUUAUAGAUGGAUCCGCGCCGCAUUAGCUAGUUGGUAAGGUAACGGCUUACCAAGGCAACGAUGCGUAGCCGACCUGAGAGGGGGAUCGGCGACACUGGAACUGAGACGCGGCCCAGACUCCUACGGGAGGCAGCAGUAGGGAAUCGUCGGCACUGGGCGAAAGCCUGACGGAGCAACGCCGGGUGAGUGAAGAAGGGCUGCGGAUCGUAAAACUCUGUUAUUAGGGAAGAACAAAUGUGUAAGUAACGAUGCACGUCUUGACGGUACCUAAACAGAAAGCCACGGCAAACUACGU